rnacentral:rRNA from 1 species
GACGAACGCUGGCGGCGUGCCUAAUACAUGCAAGUCGAACGCAGUGGGGACGGGUGAGUAACACGUGGGUAACCUCCCCCUCAGAGGGGAUAACACUUGGAAACAGGUGCUAAACCUCUAUUGAUGGAUGCAUCCGCGGUUCAUUAGCUAGUUGGUGAGGUAACGGCUCACAAAGGCCACGACGCAUAGCCGCACUGAGAGGGGGAUGGGCCACACGGGGACUGAGACACGGGCCAGACUCCUACGGGAGGCAGCAGUAGGGAAUCUUCGGCAAUGGACGAAAGUCUGACCGAGCAACGCCGCGUGAGUGAAGAAGGUUUUCGGAUCGUAAAACUCUGUUGUUAGAGAAGCGGUAUCUAACCAGAAAGCCACGGCUAACUACGUGCCAGCAGCCGCGGUAAUAC